rnacentral:rRNA from 1 species
CCUACGGGGGGCAGCAGUGAGGAAUAUUGGUCAAUGGACGAGAGUCUGAACCAGCCAAGUAGCGUGAAGGAUGACUGCCCUAUGGGUUGUAAACUUCUUUUAUAUGGGAAUAAAAUAUUCCACGUGUGGGAUUUUGUAUGUACCAUAUGAAUAAGGAUCGGCUAACUCGGUGCCAGCAGCCGCGGUAAUACGGAGGAUCCGAGCGUUAUCCGGAUUUAUUGGGUUUAAAGGGAGCGUAGGUGGAUUGUUAAGUCAGUUGUGAAAGUUUGCGGCUCAACCGUAAAAUUGCAGUUGAAACUGGCAGUCUUGAGUACAGUAGAGGUGGGCGGAAUUCGUGGUGUAGCGGUGAAAUGCUUAGAUAUCACGAAGAACUCCGAUUGCGAAGGCAGUUCACUGGACUGCAACUGACACUGAGGCUCGAAAGUGUGGGUAUCAAACAGGAUUAGAUACCCCAGUAGUC